rnacentral:rRNA from 1 species
UACGUAGGUGGCAAGCGUUAUCCGGAAUUAUUGGGCGUAAAGCGCGCGUAGGCGGUUUUUUAAGUCUGAUGUGAAAGCCCACGGCUCAACCGUGGAGGGUCAUUGGAAACUGGAAAACUUGAGUGCAGAAGAGGAAAGUGGAAUUCCAUGUGUAGCGGUGAAAUGCGCAGAGAUAUGGAGGAACACCAGUGGCGAAGGCGACUUUCUGGUCUGUAACUGACNGCUGAUGUGCGAAAGCGUGGGGAUCAAACAGGAUUAGAUACC